rnacentral:rRNA from 1 species
AUUGAACGCUGGCGGAAUGCUUUACACAUGCAAGUCGAGCGGCAGCGCGGGGCAACCUGGCGGCGUGCGGCGAACGGGUGAGUAAUGCCCAGGAACAUGUCCAUGUCGUGGGGGAUAGCCCGGCGAACGCCGGAUUAACACCGCAUACGCUCGAGAGAGGACAGCCGGGGACAGCAAGGCCUGGCGCGAUUGGGUUGGCCGAUGUGCGAUUAGCUAGUGGGUGAGGUAAAGGCUUACCAAGGAGAUGAUCGGUAGCUGGUCUGAGAGGAUGAUCAGCCACACUGGGAGUGGGACACGGCCCAGACUCCUACGGGAGGCAGCAGUGGGGAAUUGUGGACAAUGGGGGCAACCCUGAUCCAGCCAUUCCGCGUGAGUGAAGAAGGCCGUCGGGUUUUAAAGCUCUUUUGUCCGGAGCGAAACGGUUGUGGUGAAUAUCCACGACUACUGACGGUACCGGAAGAAUAAACACCGGCUAACUACUUGCCAGCCGCCGCCGUAAAAC